rnacentral:lncRNA from 1 species
GGAGGUCUGAUGAAAGAUAAAAUACAUUUUCUAUGAUUGGCUGGUUAUAUAAUGUGCUUGACUUAGAAAUAGCAUUGAUGGAGUCGAGGAAAGAAAAAUAAAAUCUGUAUGAAGGUGUUGAGAAUGAGCAAGAUUUAUGACAUUAAUCUUUGGGAGCUUUGUAGUUUUUAUGACGGUUUUUCCUUUUACAUUAACGUGUCAUAGCUGUUUCUUUUGUGCUCCACACAUAUAUGUGAAUAAUACACAGGUGCUUUGCCAUGUCUUUAUUUUUUUUUAUUUUUAUCUUUGUUAUUGUUAACUGUGUUGAAUGUUAUAUUUAUCAGGCUUGGUGUUGAUGUUGGUGGAUAUGAAGACCAAGGAGUUGAGAACUUGAGAUCUAAAUUGUUGUCGCAUCUAGGCAAUUCUACCACGAAAGCAGGCACUUCUCUUCAAAU